AGUUUGGACGCGGCAGUCCAGAGGGAAGGACGCACUUAUACUUCUCUCGUGCAUACCAUCCAGUCACUAUGCAAUUUUGUUAAUAUAAAUAGCUGUGUGCUAACUCUGAAGUGAACCUGGUACUGGCUUUUUCUGAGGUCCCUUGUUCCAUCUUUUGUGUAAACCACUUUCAUCGAUGGUGGCCGAGUAUUGGUGACGUCUUGUGUAGACCAAGUGGCCAGUAGAGAACAUUGUCUAUUGGAGGACCUCACCAGUCCAUUCUUGUCAAGACCAAGUGGCAAUAGACAACAGUGGAGGACCUUACCAGUUCCCAUACUAGGACAAUUACUUUCAAUGUGUAUCAAUUCAAACUAUAUUAAAUAUGUAAAA
rnacentral:sRNA from 1 species